rnacentral:tRNA from 1 species
AUUUAAAUAGUUUAUUAAAAAUAUUGAUUUGUGGUGUCAAAGUUAUAAAAAUUUUUAUUUUAAAUC